rnacentral:rRNA from 1 species
AGAACGAACGCUGGCGGCAUGCCUAACACAUGCAAGUCGAACGCCUGUAGCAAUACAGGAGUGGCGCACGGGUGAGUAACGCGUGGGAACCUACCCUGGAGUGGGGGAUAACCGAGAGAAAUUUCGGCUAAUACCGCAUACGACCUGAGGGUGAAAGAUUUAUCGCUCUAGGAGGGGCCCGCGUCGGAUUAGCUAGUUGGUGGGGUAACGGCCUACCAAGGCAACGAUCCGUAGCUGGUCUGAGAGGAUGAUCAGCCACACUGGGACUGAGACACGGCCCAGACUCCUACGGGAGGCAGCAGUGGGGAAUAUUGGACAAUGGGGGCAACCCUGAUCCAGCAAUGCCGCGUGAGUGAUGAAGGCCCUCGGGUUGUAAACCACUGUCGGGAGGGACGAAGAUCUGACGGUACCUCCAAAGGAGCACCGGCUAACUCUGUGCCAGCAGCCGC